rnacentral:rRNA from 1 species
GUCGAGCGGUAGGCCCUUCGGGGUACACGAGCGGCGAACGGGUGAGUAACACGUGAGCAACCUGCCCCUGACUCUGGGAUAAGCGGUGGAAACGCCGUCUAAUACCGGAUACGACCCACCACCUCAUGGUGGAGGGUGGAAAGUUUUAUCGGUCAGGGAUGGGCUCGCGGCCUAUCAGCUUGUUGGUGGGGUAACGGCCUACCAAGGCGAUUACGGGUAGCCGGCCUGAGAGGGCGACCGGCCACACUGGGACUGAGACACGGCCCAGACUCCUGCGGGAGGCAGCAGUGGGGAAUAUUGCACAAUGGGCGAAAGCCUGAUGCAGCGACGCCGCGUGGGGGAUGACGGCCUUCGGGUUGUAAACCUCUUUUACCACCAACGCAGGCUCCACGUUCUCGUGGGGUUGACGGUAGGUGGGGAAUAAGGACCGGCUAACUACGUGCCAGCAGCCGCGGUAAUACGUAGGGUCCGAGCGUUGUCCGGAAUUAUUGGGCGUAAAGAGCUCGUAGGCGGCAUGUCGCGUCUGCUGUGAAAGACCGGGGCUUAACUCCGGUUCUGCAGUGGAUACGGGCAUGCUAGAGGUAGGUAGGGGAGACUGGAAUUCCUGGUGUAGCGGUGAAAUGCGCAGAUAUCAGGAGGAACACCGGUGGCGAAGGCGGGUCUCUGGGCCUUACCUGACGCUGAGGAGCGAAAGCAUGGGGAGCGAACAGGAUUAGAUACCCUGGUAGUCCAUGCCGUAAACGUUGGGCGCUAGGUGUGGGGACUUUCCACGGUUUCCGCGCCGUAGCUAACGCAUUAAGCGCCCCGCCUGGGGAGUACGGCCGCAAGGCUAAAACUCAAAGGAAUUGACGGGGGCCCGCACAAGCGGCGGAGCA